rnacentral:rRNA from 1 species
UACGGAGGGUGCAAGCGUUACUCGGAAUCACUGGGCGUAAAGAGCGCGUAGGCGGCAGAUUAAGUUAGAGGUGAAAUUCCGAGGCUCAACCUUGGCACUGCCUCUGAUACUGGUUUGCUAGCGAGUAGAUGCUGUAGGCGGAAUGUGUGGUGUAGCGGUGAAAUGCAUAGAGAUCACACAGAACACCGAUUGCGAAGGCAGCUUACAAAUCUAUAUCGGACGCUGAGGCACGAAAGCGUGGGGAGCAAAAAGG